rnacentral:rRNA from 1 species
AUUGAACGCUGGCGGAAUGCUUUACACAUGCAUGUCGAGCGGCAGCACGGGGGCAACCCUGGUGGCGAGCGGCGAACGGGUGAGUAAUACAUCGGAACAUGCCCAGUCGUGGGGGAUAACACUUCGAAAGAAGUGCUAAUACCGCAUACGUCCUGAGGGAGAAAGCGGGGGAUCUUCGGACCUCGCGCGAUUGGAGUGGCCGAUGUCAGAUUAGCUAGUUGGUGGGGUAAAGGCCUACCAAGGCAACGAUCUGUAGCUGGUCUGAGAGGAUGAUCAGCCACACUGGGACUGCAAAACGGCCCAGCCGCCUACGGGAGGCAGCAGUGGGGAAUUUUGGACAAUGGGGGCAACCCUGAUCCAGCCAUUCCGCGUGAGUGAAGAAGGCCUUCGGGUUGUAAAGCUCUUUCGGCAGGAACGAAACGGCGAGCUCUAACAUAGCUUGCUAAUGACGGUACCUGAAGAAGAAGCACCGGCUAACUACGUGCCAGCCGCCGCCGUAAAAC